UAUUAAAAAUUUCAUUUAUUUUUAUUGUUAAAAAUUGGCGUGGUUGACAAAAUUAUCAAACAAUAGUACGUGGGGUGCCACAUAUAUCUCAUUAUUUAUAGGAACCAAUUUUUAAUAGUAAAAAUGAAUGAAAUUUUUAACA
rfam:Gossypium raimondii Chr09_contig_130, whole genome shotgun sequence.